rnacentral:lncRNA from 14 species
CAGCCACUGAAAAGUCUGAGUUACAAGAGCCAUAAAGAUACAGCUUACACCUUCACCUCCAGAAGACAGUCCUUAGCAGUCUGAGCAAACUCAUCACUGGCCCCUGUCCUCAACCCUGCUG